GAUUAACGCUGGCGGAAUGCUUUACACAUGCAAGUCGAACGGCAGCACGGACUUCGGUCUGGUGGCGAGUGGCGAACGGGUGAGUAAUGUAUCGGAACGUGCCCCGUCGUGGGGGAUAACGUAGUGAAAAUUACGCUAAUACCGCAUACGAUCGAUGGAUGAAAGCGGGGGAUCGCAAGACCUUGCGCGAUUGGAGCGGCCGAUAUCAGAUUAGGUAGUUGGUGGGGUAAAGGCCCACCAAGCCAACGAUCUGUAGCUGGUCGGAGAGGACGAACAGACACACUGGAAAUGAGACACGGUCCAGGCUCCUACGGGAGGCAGCAGUGGGGAAUGUUGGACAAUGGGCGAAAGCCUGAGCCAGCCAUUCCGCGUGCAGGAUGAAGGCCCUCGGGUUGUAAACUGCUUUUGUACAGAACGAAAAGGUUUCUACUAAUACUAGGAGCUCAUGACGGAACUGUAAGAAUAAGCACCGGCUAACUACGUGCCAGCCGCCGCCGUAA
rnacentral:rRNA from 1 species